rnacentral:rRNA from 1 species
CAAGUGGUGCGACGAACCAAGGCUUGCCCUGGGGGCAAANCCCCGAACGGGUGAGUAACACGUGAGUAACCUGCCCCGAUGACCGGGACAACCCGAGGAAACUCGGGCUAAUACCGGAUGUGGAGCACUGGCCCAAGCCUGUGCUCUAAAGGAAGCUUCGGCCUCCGCAUUGGGAGGGGCUCGCGGCCCAUUAGCUUGUUGGUGGGGUAACGGCCUACCAAGGCAACGAUGGGUAGCUGGUCUGAGAGGACGAUCAGCCACACUGGGACUGAGACACGGCCCAGACUCCUACGGGAGGCAGCAGUGGGGAAUCUUGCGCAAUGCGCGAAAGCGUGACGCAGCAACGCCGCGUGGGGGAAGAAUGCCUUCGGGUUGUAAACCCCUUUCAGGAGGGACGAAGGUUCGCCGGUGAAUAGCCGUGCGGAUUGACGGUACCUCCAGAAGAAGCUCCGGCUAACCACGUGCCAGCAGCCGCGGUAAUACGUAGGGAGCAAGCGUUGUCCGGAAUCAUUGGGCGUAAAGCGCGCGUUAGGCGGCCCUGUAAGUCCGCUGUGAAAAGUCAAAGGCUCAACCUUUGAAAGCCGGUUGGAUACUGCAGGGCUAAAGUCCGGAAGAAGGCGAGUGGAAUUCCUGGGUGUAGCGGUGGGAAUUGCGCAGAUAUCAGGAGGAACACCCAAUAGCGAAGGCACCUCGCUGGG